UUAUGUGGCCAUGUGCAUAUUUUGGAAGGGGGUCUGUAACAUCUAUUUCUGUAGGACUGAAUGGACACAACGCAGCAGGACAGAGACAGACAGCUUUUCAGAAGUGUUUAAAGACGUCCAAAAAGCCUGUAGAAAUGCCACACUGAAAGCCAGGAAGGAUGUGCUCAGAAGCACUUGGAAGCUGAAAGCAUUUCUUUUACAGUCUAUUUCUUCCUCAAUUAGGAAAUCUCACCUGAUAAAAGGAGCAAGAAAUUACCCUGCUUAAUUACACAGAUAAGGGAGGAAAACAGAAUCAUUUAAUUCCCACAAGCAACCCUUGUCUUUGUCUCAGCCUGUUUUUCACGCCUGGAUUAUGCUAACACUAUUAAUCUUUGUCUGUGACUAACUCCCGGGUUUUGUGUUAGUGACCUGAUUCUGCACUAACAAGCUCCUCCCAGUUUGGUGAGGCUCCCCAUGUGAUCUCUUCUUCCCCCUAAAUAAAGUUGAAGAAUUUGGCUGGGAUCAGUGAGUGCUGCUGAGGUGGCGGGCGCGUGGAGCUCUUCCACCUCCCUGCAUCUGCAGCACCAACAACGCGCCUGUUCAGCACUAUCUGCCUCCGCUUUGAAGACCAAGGAAGGGACGAGACCGGCCAGAUCGCAAGGUCUGGAGCUACCUCCGUGGUGAGGCUACAGCACGGGCUCCCAGUUUGCCACCCCCUGACCACUCUCCCCUUCCGAAAGUAGCCCAGCGAGUGUUGGAAGAUGUGGCCGGAGGAGGUCAUUUUUCCAGGUUCCAGAUCUACAAUCAGUGAGGACAUCUCCUGAAAUCCAGUGUAACGAGGACAAAAACCCCAAAUCCCCUUCAGACAAGGCAAGUCUGAGAGCAAAUAUCGAAGAAGAGGGGAAAAUAACUCCCCUGCGUUAACCUGAGAGGUACUGUGUCAGCUGAUUUUGUUAAUGCCUGAUGUCAGCAAAACCAAGCUGCCCCUCAGUAAGAAAAUACACCUUUGAUUUCACUCUAUGGGGAGUAUUUGAGGGAAGAAGAAACCUCUCAGUGAAGAAACCCCCUAAGGUAUAAACUACACUUGUUGCAGUGCUUGUUUUCCUUUUGCGCCUGCAGAUAAGCCCUAUCACCACAAUGUUACUGGAAAAUUGAUUUUCUCUGGUUAUCUCUUCAAGAAAAAGAGCCUCAAACUGCAGCCAGCUGAGAGCAGCCUUCCCUGCCCCAUGACAGAGACACCAUCACGUACCUGACUUGCACAAGUUUGGAUAUAGAUGACCUGUACUGCAAACUCCGUGACACCCACUGCACUCCUUGGCUCCGUCAACCAGCAAAGCCUCUGAGCCCCAUCUAUGCCUGGGGAUCCUGAGGAGAAACCUGCCUCACAGAUGCCACAGGUGACAAGGGAACCAUAGUUCUUGCUUCUUCAGAAGUCCUGUUCCAGGGAGAACAACCACUGCAUCCCAAUGAGGCCCAAGUUCAAAGAAGUCCCUGUACCUGCACUUCUGGCCUCAACAGACUAUGAAAGCUUUGCUAACCUGAACACCACAAAAGACACUGAAACCACGCAGCUAGAGGGGUCCCUCUCAUCCACCAUUGCACUGGUAAUAGUGCUGGUUAUCAUCUUCUCUUUGUUAACAACAUCCCUAGUAACCUACUGCUUUCACAAGUGGAAACUGAGAGGUAAAAGACUCCAGAAGGCACAAGAGGAGUAUCAGAAAGACCAAGAAAAGAGCAUUUUUCAAAGCACGCCUGGACUAGUUUCAUAGAAAGACUCCAAAGGAUUCACCAUGAAAUGCUCUUGCAUUACCUGAACAUGGAAAUAAUAAAAGAAUGGCAACUAUGACAUUUCUAAGCAAACCUAUCCUUGUUUUAUCUCAUUUAUAAGAGUUGUUGGCAGUUUGGAGAUUUCCUACAGCUUUAUUAUACAUAUAUAUAUUUAUAUAGUCUCAUUUGUGCAAAGUAAACCCAAGGCAAUCACGUAUUUUUGAUCUCUGUUGUAUUACUAAACCAGUGCAUUUAAAUGUGUUGCUCACACUCCUUCAGAAACCCACUGGCCUGUGGAAGGCAGAAGGUCAGGUCUGGUUAUUGCAAAGCAAUACAGCAGCUCAGUAAAGCUCAGUGGAGUUGUGUUGUUUUGCACCCAUCUAAUCAUCUGGCUGAAGAUUGUGAAAUCCAAUCGGAGUCUUAAAAUAAAUCAGGUUCACAGACACUCAGCAGUAGCAGCCUGGUCCUGAAAGCUCCCAGCUGAAGAACCUUCCACAUCUUCAGCAGCAGCUCCAUGCAGAGGGCAUGCAGGACCCAGCCCUAUGUGCAUUUGCAGGUGGUAAGUCAGUAUUUCUUUCAGGUGAGGUUCAGUGACGUGGGGUGGUAGUGGCAUUCCAACUGCAAGUGGAUUAAAGACCUCCAGUGUUCCUGAAACCCAAUUUACCAACUUAACACCCUUUUUAAACUAGGCUUGUACUUCUUUUUAAACCAACCAUACGAUGGUGUGUUUUUAUUUUCACAGCCUGUAAUAUGUCAUGGGGAAAUGGCAGCUCUGUUGUGAGUAGCAUCUCUAAGUCACAUUUUCUAACAAAGUGAUGGAUGUAAUAUGAAUAUACUUGAUUGUUUUAAAAAGUAGGAACCAUGUAAAAUUACAAGAAGCCCUGCUCAAGUAGCUAGCUUGCCUGCACUUGCCAGUAAUGCUGUAUGUAUUUUUAAACAAGCUAUAAUACUGUGAUGCUGUAAACUUACUUCUGUAGGCAAAAAAUGUUCUAGUUAAAAAUGUCAAGAUGAAGGAUGUAAAUGUUCUUAAAGUGCUAUCAACUAAAGAGAUGAAUUUUCACAGAAGAUUCUAAAGGAUUCUGUUACAUGCUACAGAUCUAUUUUACAAACCUAUUUAUGGAUCAAACACACUAGUCUAUGUGAGAACAAACAGUACUAUUUUAUUACAAAAUAAAUGAAUAAAUAAGCAGUGAAUAUCCA